rnacentral:rRNA from 1 species
CAGUAGCCACGGGAAUACAGAGGGUGCAAGCGUUACUCGGAAUCACUGGGCGUAAAGGACGCGUAGGCGGAUUAUCAAGUCUCUUGUGAAAUCUAACGGCUUAACCGUUAAACUGCUUGGGAAACUGAUAAUCUAGAGUAAGGGAGAGGCAGAUGGAAUUCUUGGUGUAGGGGUAUAAUCCGUAGAUAUCAAGAAGAAUACCUAUUGCGAAGGCGAUCUGCUGGAACUUAACUGACGCUAAUGCGUGAAAGCGUGGGGAGCAAACAGGAUUAGAUACCCCUGUAGUCCCUGUCUCUUAUAC